rnacentral:lncRNA from 1 species
CUCGCCGCCUUUCUCCGCAGCCCGCCCCUGGGGUCACUCGCUCACGGGCGCGGGGCCCUCAUCGGGGCGAGAGCCCCCACACACACCUCCCCUGCGGGCCCGGAGGUGGGGGACCCGGGAGACACGGACACUGGUGGGUGGUUGGGUGUAAUUAGCGCGGGCCGCGCGCGAUGGAGCAAGCGAGGGGGGAGGGGAGAAGAGGAGAGCGAGCGAGGGGGGUUAAAAAAAAGGAUUUUAGGGAGGGAGGAAACGGGCCGCGGAGACGGGCCGACUGUCUUGUCUGUCUGCCCGCCCUAGGUGCCCCGGCUGCUCGGCCCCCGCCGCAGUCAGAAAUUCACACAAAAUGGCGGCCCGGCCUGGAGGAGCCGAGAGGCUGAGGCGGGAGGAAGGGCGAGGUGGGAGGGGGAACUGGGAGGCGGAGGCGGAGGCCGCGUCACGUGGAGGAGAGGCACAGGCCUUCUCCCGAAGGCCGGCGGAAAGAGCCGAAGGGAGGGAGUGAGGUCGAGGCAAGGCGGAAAAAGCCGAAGGCAGAGGAGCGAGAGACGGGUAGAGACGGAAAAAGCCGAGUCACGGGGAUGGCUCUACAGAGAAGUCACUACACGGUGUGGAAGAAAUGCCAGAAGCUGUCUCCAGCCCGUGGAAAUAACUAGGGAAGAAAGGAGGAGACCAUUGGCCAAAGGGAGGCAUUAUGGACUUCCGGCCACGGGAGCGGGUCAUCUCCUCCUCCCAUCAUGGACGGAAGAGGAACUCCCAUCAAAAGCCGUCAGAUGACUGUAGCGUCAGCUGACCUCUGACUGCGUUCUCACAAAAGACCUUGUGCCACAACAGCCCGGUCCAGCUGCUCCUGAAGUCCAGCUUCACAAAAACUACAAGAGAUAAUAAAUAUGCAUCAUUAAG